AUCAGUAGCCGACCUGAGAGGGUGAUCGGCCACAUUGGAACUGAGACACGGUCCAAACUCCUACGGGAGGCAGCAGGGGGGAAUAUUGCACAAUGGGCGAAAGCCUGAUGCAGCAACGCCGCGUGAGGGAUGAAGGCCUUCGGGUCGUAAAACUCUGUCCUCAAGGAAGAUAAUGACGGUACUUGAGGAGGAAGCCCCGGCUAA
rnacentral:rRNA from 1 species